rnacentral:lncRNA from 1 species
ACUCCUGCGCGCGCUGCGCGCGCAUUAAAUGCCAUUGCAGGUAGCCGUUGGCGCGAAGUAGCCGUUGCUCUGAGGUUGCACCGGACAGUCCGGUGCACACCGGACAGUCCGGUGCUCACCGGACAGUCCGGUGAAUUAUAGCGAAGCGGCGAGGGAGAAAACCCGAGGCUGGCGAGUUCCUGGGGCCGACCUUCCUUGGAGCACCGGACAUGUCCGGUGUACACCGGACAGUCCGGUGAAUUAUAGCCGAGUCGCCUCUGGAAAUUCCCGAAGGUGGCGAGUUUGAGUCUGAGUCCCCCUGGUGCACCGGACAUGUCCGGUGGCACACCGGACAGUCCGGUGCGCCAGACCAGGGGUGCCUUCGGUUGCCCCUUUGCUCCUUUGUUGAAUCCAAAACUUGGUCUUUUUAUUGGCUGAGUGUGAACCUUUUAUACCUGUAUAAUCUAUACACUUGGGCAAACUAGUUAGUCCAAUUAUUUGUGUUGGUCAAUUCAACCACCAAAAUUAAUUAGGGACUAGAUGUAAGCCUAAUUCCCUUUCAAUCUCCCCCUUUUUGGUGAUUGAUGCCAACACAAACCAAAGCAAAUAUAGAAGUGCAUAAUUGAACGAGUUUGUAUAAUGUAAGUGUAAAGGUUGCUUGGAAUUGAGCCAAUAUAAAUACUUACAAGAUAUGCAUGGAUUGUUUCUUUCUUAUAUAACAUUUUGGACCACGUUUGCACCACAUGUUUUGUUUUUGCAAAUUCUUUUUGUAAAUCUAUUUCAAGGAUCUUUUGCAAAUAGUCAAAGGUAAAUGAAUAAGAGUUUGCAAAGCAUUUUCAAGAUUUGAAAUUUUCUCCCCCUGUUUCAAAUGCUUUUUCCUUUGACUUAACAAAACACCCCUUAAAGGAGAUCCACCUCUUAGUGUUCAAGAGGGUUUUGAUAUACAUUUUUGAAAAACUAAUUUUCUCCUCCUUUUGAACACAAUAGGAUACCAAUUGAUAAAUACUCUUGGAGAGCACUAAGUUUUUGAAAUUGGUGGUGGUGCGGUCCUUUUGCUUUGGGCUCAUACUUUCUCCCCCUUUGGCAUGAAUCGCCAAAAACGGAAUCAUUAGAGCCCAUUGAAGUACUAUCUUCCCCUUUGGUCAUAAGUAAAUGAGUUAAGAUUAUACCAAAGACGAAGUCCGGUCCUUUUCUUGGAGCAACGGCGAAGGAUGAGUUACAGACUGGAAGCCUUUGUCUUUGCCGAAGACUCCAAUUCCUUUUCAAUAUACCUAUGACUUGGUGUGAAAUGGACUUGAGAAACACAUUAGUCAUAGCAUAUGAAAGAGAUAUGAUCAAAGGUAUAUAAAUGAGCUACGUGUGCAAUCUAGCAAAAGAAAUUGCGCGAAUCAAGAAUAUUGAGCUCAUGCUUAAGUUUGGUAAAAGUUUGUUCAUCAAGAGGUUUGGUAAAGAUAUCGGCUAAUUGAUCUUUAGUGUUAAUAUAAGAAAUCUCGAUAUCUCCCUUUUGUUGGUGAUCCCUAAGAAAAUGAUACCGAAUGGCUAUGUGCUUAGUGCGGCUAUGCUCGACGGGAUUGUCGGCCAUUUUGAUUGCACUCUCAUUAUCACAUAGCAAAGGGACUUUGGUUAAUUUGUAACCAUAGUCCCGCAGGGUUUGCCUCAUCCAAAGUAAUUGCGCGCAACAAUGACCUGCGGCAAUGUACUCGGCUUCGGCGGUUGAAAGAGCGACCGAAUUUUGUUUCUUUGAAGCCCAUGACACCAAGGAUCUCCCCAAGAACUGGCGAGUCCCUGAUGUGCUCUUCCUGUUAAUCUUACACCCCGCCCAAUCGGCAUCCGAAUAACCAAUUAAAUCAAAUGUGGAUCCCCGAGGGUACCAAAGCCCAAACUUAGGAGUAUAAGCCAAAUAUCUCAAGAUUCGUUUUACGGCCGUAAGGUGGGAUUCCUUAGGGUCGGAUUGGAAUCUUGCACACAUGCAAACGGAAAGCAUAAUGUCCGGUCGAGAAGCACAUAAAUAGAGUAAGGAACCUAUCAUCGACCGGUAUACCUUUUGAUCCACGGACUUACCUCCCGUGUCGAGGUCGAGAUGCCCAUUGGUUCCCAUGGGUGUCUUGAUGGGCUUGGCAUCCUUCAUUCCAAACUUGCUUAGGAUGUCUUGAGUAUACUUGGUUUGGCUAAUGAAGGUGCCCUCUUGGAGUUGCUUCACUUGAAAUCCUAAGAAAUACUUCAACUCCCCCAUCAUAGACAUCUUGAAUUUCUGUGUCAUGAUCCUACUAAAUUCCUCACAAGUAGAUUCGUUAGUAGACCCAAAUAUGAUAUCAUCAACAUAAAUUUGGCAUACAAACAAAUCAUUGUCAAGAGUUUUAGUGAAUAGAGUAGGAUCGGCCUUGCCGACUUUGAAGCCAUUAGCGAUAAGGAAAUCUCUAAGGCAUUCAUACCAUGCUCUUGGGGCUUGCUUGAGCCCAUAAAGCGCCUUAGAGAGCUUAUAGACAUGGUUAGGAUACUCACUGUCUUCAAAGCCAGGAGGUUGCUCAACAUAGACCUCUUCCUUGAUAGGUCCGUUGAGGAAGACACUUUUCACGUCCAUUUGAUAAAGCUUAAAGCCAUGGUAAGUAGCAUAGGCUAAUAAUAUGCGAAUUGACUCAAGCCUAGCUACGGGUGCAUAGGUUUCACCGAAAUCCAAACCUUCGACUUGGGAGUAUCCUUUGGCCACAAGUCGAGCUUUGUUCCUUGUCUCCACACCAUGCUCAUCUUGCUUGUUGCGGAAGACCCAUUUGGUUCCUACAACAUUUUGGUUAGGACGUGGAACUAAGCGCCAUACCUCGUUCCUUGUGAAAUUGUUGAGCUCCUCUUGCAUCGCCACCACCCAAUCCGAAUCUUGUAGUGCUUCCUCUACCCUGUGUGGUUCAAUAGAGGAAACAAACGAGUAAUGCUCACAAAAAUGUGCAACACGAGAUCGAGUAGUUACCCCCUUAUGAAUGUCGCCGAGGAUGGUGUCGACGGGGUGAUCUCGUUGGAUUGCUUGGUGGACUCUUGGGUGUGGCGGCCUUUGCCCUUCAUCCUCCUUGUCUUGAUCAUUUGCAUCUCCCCCUUGAUCAUUGCCGUCAUCUUGAGGUGGCUCAUUUGCUUGAUCUUCUAUUUUAUCAACUUGAGCUUCAUCCUCAUUUUGAGUUGAUGGAGAUGCUUGAGUGGAGGAGGAUGGUUGAUCUUGUGCAUGUGGAGGCUCUUCGGAUUCCUUAGGACACACAUCCCCAAUGGACAUGUUCCUUAGCGCUAUGCAUGGAGCCUGUUCUUCACCGGUUAGGAGUUCAUAUGAUGUCUUCUUGAGGAUUCGGUGAAGAUAUAACCGGUUGAUGGCGUAGCAAGCGGUGUUGACCGCCUCGGCCCAAAACCGAUCCGAAGUCUUGUACUCAUCAAGCAUGGUCCUUGCCAUGUCCAAUAGAGUUCGAUUCUUCCUUUCCACUACACCAUUUUGUUGAGGGGUGUAGGGAGAAGAGAACUCAUGCUUGAUGCCCUCCUCCUCAAGAAAGCCUUCAAUUUGUGAGUUCUUGAACUCCGUCCCGUUGUCGCUUCUUAUUUUCUUGAUCCUUAAGCCGAACUCAUUUUGAGCCCGUCUCAAGAAUCCCUUUAAGGUCUCUUGGGAUUGAGAUUUUUCCUGUAAAAAGAAUACCCAAGUGAAGCGAGAAUAAUCAUCCACUAUUACAAGACAAUACUUACUCCCGCCGAUGCUUAUGUAAGCAAUCGGGCCGAAUAGAUCCAUGUGGAGUAGCUCAAGCGGCCUGUCGGUCGUCAUGAUGUUCUUGUGUGGAUGAUGGGCUCCAACUUGCUUCCCCGCCUGGCAUGCGCUACAAAUCCUGUCUUUCUCAAAAUGAACAUUUGUUAAUCCUAAAAUGUGCUCUCCCUUUAGAAGCUUGUGAAGAUUCUUCAUCCCAACAUGGGCCAGUCGGCGGUGCCAGAGCCAACCCAUGUUAGUCUUAGCAAUUAAGCAUGUGUCGAGUUCAGCUCUAUCAAAAUCUACUAAGUAUAGCUGACCCUCUAACACACCCUUAAAUGCUAUUGAAUCAUCACUUCUUCUAAAGACAGUGACACCUACAUCAGUAAAGAGACAGUUGUAGCCCAUUUGACAUAAUUGGGAAACAGAAAGCAAGUUGUAGUCUAAAGAAUCAACAAGAAAAACAUUGGAAUGAUCAGGAGAUAUAGCAAUUUUACCAAGUCCUUUGACCAAACCUUGAUUUCCAUCCCCGAAUGUGAUAGCUCGUUGGGGAUCUUUGUUUUUCUCAUAUGAGGAGAACAUCCUUUUCUCCCCGGUCAUGUGGUUUGUGCACCCGCUGUCGAGUAUCCAACUUGAGCCCCAGAUGCAUAAACCUACAAAACAAAUUUAGUUCUUGACUUUAGGUACCCAAACUGUUUUGGGUCCUUUGGCAUUAGAAACAAGAACUUUGGGUACCCAAACACAAGUUUUUGACCCCUUGUGUUUGCCCCCAACAAACUUGGCAACGACCUUGCCGGAUUUGUUAGUCAAAACAUAGGAUGCAUCAAAAGUCUUAAAUGAAAUGCUAUGUUCAUUUGAUGCAUUAGGAAUUUUCUUCUUAGGCAACUUAGCACGGGUUGGUUGCCUAGAACUAGAUGUCUUACCCUUAUACAUAAAAGCAUGAUUAGGGCCAGAGUGAGACUUCUUAGAAUGAAUUUUCCUAAUUUUGUCCUCGGGAUAACCGGCAGGGUAUAAAAUGUAACCCUCGUUAUCCUGAGGCAUGGGAGCCUUGCCCUUAACAAAAUUUGACAAUCUUUUAGGAGGGGCACUAAGUUUGACAUUGUCUCCCCUUUGGUAGCCAAUGCCAUCCUUAAUGCCAGGGCGUCUCCCAUUAUAAAGCAUGCUACGAGCAAAUUUAAAUUUCUCAUUUUCUAAGUUGUGCUCGGCAAUUUUAGCAUCUAGUUUUGCUAUAUGAUCAUUUUGUUGUUUAAUUAAGGCCAUAUGAUCAUGAAUAGCAUCAAUAUCAACAUUUCUACAUCUAGUACAAAUAGUGACAUGCUCAAUGGUAGAUGUAGAUGGUUUGCAAGAAUUAAGUUCAACAAUCUUAGCACGAAGUAUAUCAUUUUUAUCUCUAAGAUCGGCAAUUGUAACUUUGCAAACAUCAAAAUCUUUAGCCUUAGCAAUCAAAUUUUCAUUCUCUAAUCUAAGGCUAGCAAGAGAAAUGUUUAAUUCUUCAAUCCUAGCAAGCAAAUCAUCAUUAUUAUCUCUAGGAUUGGGAAUUGAAACAUUACAAACAUGAGAAUCAACCUUAGCAUUUAAACUAGCAUUUUCAUUUCUAAGGUUGUCAAUCAUCUCACGGCAAGUGCUUAGCUCACUAGACAAUUUUUCAUAUUUUUCAACUUGUAGAGCGUAAGCAUUUUUAACCUUAACAUGUUUUUUAUUUUCCUUGAUUAGGAAGUCCUCUUGGGAGUCCAAGAGAUCAUCCUUCUCAUGGAUGGCACUAAUUAGUUCAUUUAAUUUCUCCUUUUGUUCCAUGUUAAGGUUGGCAAAAAGAGUACGCAAAUUAUCUUCCUCACCACUAGCAUUAUCAUCACUGGAAGACUCAUAUUUAGUGGAGGAGUUAGAUUUAACCUUCUUCUUUUUGCCGUCCUUUGCCAUGAGGCACUUGUGGCCGACGUUGGGGAAGAGGAGUCCCUUGGUAACGGCGAUGUUGGCGGCGUCCUCGUCGUCGGAGGAGUCGCUUGAGCUUUCGUCGGAGUCCCACUCCCGACAAACAUGGGCAUCACCGCACUUCUUCUUGUAGUACCUCUUCUUCUCCUUUCGCCUCCCCUUCUUGUCGUCACCUCGGUCACUGUCACUAGAUAUAGGACAUUUAGCAAUAAAAUGACCGGGCUUACCACACUUGUAGCAAACCUUCUUGGAGCGGGACUUGUAAUCCUUCCCCCUCCUUUGCUUGAGGAUUUGGCGGAAGCUCUUGAUGACGAGCGCCAUUUCCUCAUUGUCGAGCUUGGAGGCGUCUAUUGGUUGUCGACUUGGUGUAGACUCCUCCUUCUUCUCCUCCGUUGCCUUGAAUGCAACGGGUUGAGCUUCGGAUGUGGUGACAUCAUCAAGCUCGUUGAUCUUCCUCGAGCCUUCGAUCAUGCACUCAAAACUCACAAAAUUCCCGAUAACUUCCUCGGGGGUCAUUUUAGUAUAUCUAGGAUUACCACGGAUCAAUUGAACUUGAGUAGGGUUAAGGAAAAUAAGAGAUCUUAGAAUAACCUUAACCAUCUCGUGGUCAUCCCACUUUACGCUCCCGAGGUUGCGCACUUGAUUCACCAAAGUCUUGAGCCGGUUGUACAUGUGUUGUGGCUCCUCCCCUUUGCGAAGCCGGAACCGACCGAGCUCCCCCUCGAUCGUUUCCCGCUUGGUGAUCUUGGUGAGCUCAUCUCCUUCGUGCGCGGUUUUGAGCACAUCCCAAACCUCCUUGGCGCUCUUCAACCCUUGAACUUUGUUAUACUCCUCUCUACUUAAAGAGGCAAGGAGUAUUGUUGUCGCUUGAGAGUUGAAGUGCUCGAUUUGGGCCACCUCAUCCUCAUCAUAAUCCUUGUCCCCUACGGAUGGUACCUGUGCACCAAACUCGACAACAUCCCAUAUACUUUUGUGGAGUGAGGUUAGAUGAAAUCGCAUUAAAUCACUCCACCUAGCAUAAUCUUCACCAUCAAAAGUUGGUGGUUUGCCUAAUGGGACGGAAAGUAAAGGUGCAUUUUUAGAAAUGCGAGGGUAAUGUAGGGGGAUCUUACUAAACUUCUUACGCUCUUGGCGUUUAGAAGUUACGGAGGGCGCAUCGGAGUCGGAGGUCGAUGUUGAUGAAGUGUCGGUCUCGUAGUAGACCACUUUCCUCAUCCUUUUGUGCUUGUCCCCUCUCCGAUGUGGCUUGUGGGAGGAAGAUCUCUCCUUCUUCUCUUUGUGGUGUGAAGAAGAUUUCUUCUCCUUCCCUUUGUUGGAGGAGCUCUUUUUCUUCUCCUUCCUCUUGGUGCGGGACUCUUCCGAUGAAGUGCUCCCGUGGCUUGUAGUGGGCUUUUCGCCGGUCUCCAUCUCCUUCUUGGCGUGAUCUCCCGACAUCACUUCGAGCGGUUAGGCUCUAAUGAAGCACCGGGCUCUGAUACCAAUUGAAAGUCGCCUAGAGGGGGGGGGUGAAUAGGGCGAAACUGAAAUUUGCAAAUAUAAACACAACUACAAGCCGGGUUAGCGUUAGAAAUAUAAUCGAGUCCGAGAGAGGGCGUGAAAACAAAUCGCAAGUGAAUAAUGAAGUGAGACACGCGGAUUUGUUUUACCGAGGUUCGGUUCUCUCAAACCUACUCCCCGUUGAGGAGGCCACAAAGGCCGGGUCUUUUUCAACCCUUUCCCUCUCUCAAACGGUCCCUCGGACCGAGUGAGCUUUCUCUUCUCAAAUUAACCGGGAGCAAAACCUCCCCGCAAGGACCACCACACAAUUGGUGUCUCUUGCCUUGGUUACAAGUGAGUAUUGAACACAAGAAAGAAUGAAAGAGAGAAAGCAAUCCAAGCGCAAGAGCUCAAAUGAACACGGCAAAUCACUCUCACUAGUCACUAGGGCUUUGUGUGGGAUUGGAGAGGAUUUGAUCUCUUUGGUGUGUCUAGAAUUGAAUGCUAGAGCUCUUGUAGUAGUUGGGAAGUGGAAAACUUGGAUGCAAUGAAUGGUGGGGUGGUUGGGGUAUUUAUAGCCCCAACCAACAAAAGUGGCCGUUGGGAGGCUGUCUGUUCGAUGGCGCACCGGACAGUCCGGUGCACACCGGACAGUCCGGUGCCCCCUGCCACGUCAUCACUGUCGUUGGAUUCUGACCGUUGGAGCUUCUGACUUGUGGGCCCACCUGGGUGUCCGGUGCACACCGGACAUGUACUGUUUGCUGUCCGGUGUGCCAGCAUGGGCGAUUCUGACUCCUGCGCGCGCUGCGCGCGCAUUAAAUGCCGUUGCAGGUAGCCGUUGGCGCGAAGUAGCCGUUGCUAUGAGGUUGCACCGGACAGUCCGGUGCACACCGGACAGUCCGGUGCACACCGGACAGUCCGAUGAAUUAUAGCGAAGCGGCGAGGGAGAAAACCCGAGGCUGGCGAGUUCCUGGGGCCGACCUUCCUUGGAGCACCGGACAUGUCCGGUGUACACCGGACAGUCCGGUGAAUUAUAGCCGAGUCGCCUCUGGAAAUUCCC